rnacentral:ncRNA from 1 species
GUAAAAAAUUUAUAAGAAUAUGAUGUUGGUUCAGAUUAAGCGCUAAAUAAGGACAUGACACAUGCGAAUCAUACGUUUAUUAUUGAUAAGAUAAUAAAUAUGUGGUGUAAACGUGAGUAAUUUUAUUAGGAAUUAAUGAACUAUAGAAUAAGCUAAAUACUUAAUAUAUUAUUAUAUAAAAAUAAUUUAUAUAAUAAAAAGGAUAUAUAUAUAAUAUAUAUUUAUCUAUAGUCAAGCCAAUAAUGGUUUAGGUAGUAGGUUUAUUAAGAGUUAAACCUAGCCAACGAUCCAUAAUCGAUAAUGAAAGUUAGAACGAUCACGUUGACUCUGAAAUAUAGUCAAUAUCUAUAAGAUACAGCAGUGAGGAAUAUUGGACAAUGAUCGAAAGAUUGAUCCAGUUACUUAUUAGGAUGAUAUAUAAAAAUAUUUUAUUUUAUUUAUAAAUAUUAAAUAUUUAUAAUAAUAAUAAUAAUAAUAUAUAUAUAUAAAUUGAUUAAAAAUAAAAUCCAUAAAUAAUUAAAAUAAUGAUAUUAAUUACCAUAUAUAUUUUUUAUAUGGAUAUAUAUAUUAAUAAUAAUAUUAAUUUUAUUAUUAUUAAUAAUAUAUUUUAAUAGUCCUGACUAAUAUUUGUGCCAGCAGUCGCGGUAACACAAAGAGGGCGAGCGUUAAUCAUAAUGGUUUAAAGGAUCCGUAGAAUGAAUUAUAUAUUAUAAUUUAGAGUUAAUAAAAUUAAUUAAAGAAUUAUAAUAGUAAAGAUGAAAUAAUAAUAAUAAUUAUAAGACUAAUAUAUGUGAAAAUAUUAAUUAAAUAUUAACUGACAUUGAGGGAUUAAAACUAGAGUAGCGAAACGGAUUCGAUACCCGUGUAGUUCUAGUAGUAAACUAUGAAUACAAUUAUUUAUAAUAUAUAUUAUAUAUAAAUAAUAAAUGAAAAUGAAAGUAUUCCACCUGAAGAGUACGUUAGCAAUAAUGAAACUCAAAACAAUAGACGGUUACAGACUUAAGCAGUGGAGCAUGUUAUUUAAUUCGAUAAUCCACGACUAACCUUACCAUAUUUUGAAUAUUAUAAUAAUUAUUAUAAUUAUUAUAUUACAGGCGUUACAUUGUUGUCUUUAGUUCGUGCUGCAAAGUUUUAGAUUAAGUUCAUAAACGAACAAAACUCCAUAUAUAUAAUUUUAAUUAUAUAUAAUUUUAUAUUAUUUAUUAAUAUAAAGAAAGGAAUUAAGACAAAUCAUAAUGAUCCUUAUAAUAUGGGUAAUAGACGUGCUAUAAUAAAAUGAUAAUAAAAUUAUAUAAAAUAUAUUUAAUUAUAUUUAAUUAAUAAUAUAAAACAUUUUAAUUUUUAAUAUAUUUUUUUAUUAUAUAUUAAUAUGAAUUAUAAUCUGAAAUUCGAUUAUAUGAAAAAAGAAUUGCUAGUAAUACGUAAAUUAGUAUGUUACGGUGAAUAUUCUAACUGUUUCGCACUAAUCACUCAUCACGCGUUGAAACAUAUUAUUAUCUUAUUAUUUAUAUAAUAUUUUUUAAUAAAUAUUAAUAAUUAUUAAUUUAUAUUUAUUUAUAUCAGAAAUAAUAUGAAUUAAUGCGAAGUUGAAAUACAGUUACCGUAGGGGAACCUGCGGUGGGCUUAUAAAUAUCUUAAAUAUUCUUACA